GUUUCUGUGUGUAGUGGUUAUCACGUUCUCUUUACACGCGAAAGGCUCCCUGGUUCGAAACCGGGCAGAAGCA
rnacentral:tRNA from 1 species